rnacentral:rRNA from 1 species
AAUGGGCGCAAGACCUGAGUCCAGCACGCCGCGUGGGUGAGUGAAGGCCUUCGGGUUGUAAAGCCCUGUCGGAGGGGACGAAGUCUUCGGAUUGACGGUACCUUCCAAGAAAGCACCGGCUAACUCCGUGCCAGCAGCCGCGGUAAUACGGAGGGUGCAAGCGUUGCUCGGAAUUACUGGGCGUAAAGCGUACGCAGGCGGUCUGAUAAGUCGGGUGUGAAAGCCCCCGGGCUCAACCCGGGAACUGCAUUCGAAACUGCCAGACUUGAGUUUGGGAGAGGGAAGUGGAAUUCCUGGUGUAGAAGUGAAAAUUCGUUGAUAUCAGGAGGAACACCGGCGGCGAAAGCGGCUUCCUGGCCCCGAUACUGACGCUCAUGUACGAAAGCGUGGGGAGCAAACAGGAUUAGAUACCCCUGGUAGUCCACGCCGUAAACGAUGAGUGCUAGAUGUUGGAGGUAUUCACCCCUUCAGUGUCGAAGCUAACGCAUUAAGCACUCCGCCUGGGGAGUACGGCCGCAAGGUUAAAAACUCAAAGGAAUUGACGGGGG